UUGGAGGGCAAGUCUGGUGCCAGCAGCCGCGGUAAUUCCAGCUCCAAUAGCGUAUAUUAAAGUUGUUGCAGUUAAAAAGCUCGUAGUUGAAUUUCGGGGUUCUACCGUUGGUCGGGCUUUGUCUGUACUGGUGUGUAGAAUUUCUACCUUCUGGGGAACCAUCAUGCUAUUAAUUUAGCGUGGUGGGAAACCAGGACCUUUACCUUGAAAAAAUUAGUGUGUUCAAAGCAGGCUUAUGUCUGAAUACAUUAGCGUGGAAUAAUAGAAUAGGACGGUGGUCCUGUUUUGUUGGUUUCUGAAUCACCGUAAUGAUUAAUAGGGAUAGUUGGGGGCAUUAGUAUUCAAUUGUCAGAGGUGAAAUUCUUGAUUUAUUGAAGACUAACUACUGCGAAAGCAUUUGCCAAGGAUGUUUUCAUUAAUCAAGAACGAAAGUUAGGGGAUCGAAGACGAUCAGAUACCGUCGUAGUCUUAACCAUAAACUAUGCCGACUAGGGAUCGGAUGAUGUUAAUUUUUUAAUGACUCAUUCGGCGCCUUACGGGAAAC
rnacentral:rRNA from 1 species